GAGGGUCUAGCUCAAUUGGUAGAGUGCAUGCUUAGAAUGCAUGAGGUCCUGGGUUCAAUCCUUGGUACGUCC
rnacentral:tRNA from 1 species